UACGUAGGUGGCAAGCGUUGUCCGGAUUUACUGGGCGUAAAGAGCGCGCAGGCGGUCAUUCAAGUCGAGUGUGAAAGCCCCCGGCUCAACUGGGGAGGGUCACUCGAUACUGUUUGACUCGAAGGCGGGAGAGGGAAGUGGAAUUCCCGGUGUAGUGGUGAAAUGCGUAGAUAUCGGAGGAGACCAGCGGCGAGGCGAAGCUCGGU
rnacentral:rRNA from 1 species